rnacentral:rRNA from 1 species
CCAGACUCCUACGGGAGGCAGCAGUGGGGGAUAUUGCACAAUGGGGGAAACCCUGAUGCAGCGACGCCGCGUGGGUGAAGAAGCGCCUCGGCGCGUAAAGCCCUGUCAGCAGGGAAGAAAAUGACGGUACCUGUUUAGAAAGCUCCGGCUAACUACGUGCCAGCAGCCGCGGUAAUACGUAGGGAGCAAGCGUUGUCCGGAAUUACUGGGCGUAAAGGGCGCGUAGGUGGGCGCUUAAGUCAGGUGUGAAAACUCCGGGCUCAACCUGGAGACUGCACUUGAAACUGGGUGUCUUGAGGGCAGGAGAGGAAAGUGGAAUUCCUAGUGUAGCGGUGAAAUGCGUAGAUAUUAGGAGGAACACCAGUGGCGAAGGCGGUCUGCUGGACAGCAACUGGCGCUGAGGCGCGAAAGCGUGGGUAGCGAACGGGAUUAGAUACCCUAGUAAA